UACAGAGGUCUCAAGCGUUGUUCGGAUUCAUUGGGCGUAAAGGGUGCGUAGGCGGCGCGGUAAGUCGGGUGUGAAAUCUCGGAGCUUAACUCCGAAACUGCAUUCGAUACUGCCGUGCUUGAGGACUGGAGAGGAGACUGGAAUUUACGGUGUAGCGGUGAAAUGCGUAGAUAUCGUAAGGAAGACCAGUGGCGAAGGCGGGUCUCUGGACAGGUUCCUGACACUGAGGCACGAAGGCCAGGGGAGCAAACGGG
rnacentral:rRNA from 1 species